UUCAUGCUUGGGUGAGAACAUAUCCAUCAUGGGCUCCUGUUUAUACCACUGUAAAAACCGGUGAUGUGCGGCAGUUCUGCCAAAAACUGGGAAAUACACGGAUUCGUGGACGAGCACCGCAGCUGAGAACCCGUUCAUGGAUCCCGACACUUGGGUGGUAAGACGGGUGUCAAUACCUGGCAGGCAGGCAGCAGGCACGGCGUACGUUCGGGGGGCCAUGGCUCAGAAAGCGGCAGCAGAAGAAGCUUAUCAGAGCAUGGGCACAGCCGGGCUGCAGAGGCAGAGGAGAGUGCCAGAAAGGUCUCGUGUGAAUUGGGUCCUUGAAGCCAGUCAAAGCCAAGACUUCACAUUCUCCAAAUGGCACGAACGUACAGUCUUUCCUCUUAGAAGUACAGAUAAACUAGAUCCAGUAAGCCUCAUAAAUAAAUGUUGGUUUUUCUAUUAAAGCUCCAGGGGGCCGCCCUAAUAUUCUGGCAGUUGAGAAAAGGCAUUCAAACUGACAGACAGUUACAAGCUGAAAAGUCUAUGUUUAGGCUAACUAUUCUUUGAAGAUUUGUUCAGGCCCACCGUUCUAUGUUGCGAAAACCAAGUUUUUGAGAGAGCAGGCAUUAUGGAGAGAGCAUGGGAGCACCGGCCUUAGGAAUUGACUGACUUUCCGUGGCUUGCUGGCUGCCAUGGCCGCAGUGCACAUGCAAGUGGAGCUCUCAGGACACUCCUUGUAAGGCUUUGACCAGCAACGACACUUGUCUUACCAGGGACAGCACACUGUUGAGAGAUGAAGGAGGUUGAGGAUGUGACCCUCUUGUGUGAGAAUUGGAAUUUGAGGGACUGGAGUCCUUUUGUAAGAACUGGAUUAUCCACAAAAAGCAACUGACCAGGCAGUUAAAGGUUUGCUGUUUAGCAGACAAGUGCCCUGCCAUUCA